GAACGACAACUCUCUGGAUUCUAUGAGCUUCUUCAGUCUCAUCGCCAUCCUCAUCGGUUGUCGAAGAAC
rnacentral:snoRNA from 1 species